UUGGUCAUGGGAGGAAUUUUAUCAAUCCCCUAAAUCCAGUGAUUUUAAUCCAAAAAAAAGUCAAAUCAACCUUGACCAAGUCCCAAACAAAUAGUCAAACAUCACAAGACCAUAAAAAUGGCUCAACAUAAUUUUUACACAUUUAAUCAAUUAAAAAUCCAAUUAAAAAUGCAUUGAAAUACAAUUUAAUUUGGUCAAACCCUAAAAUCUCUUCAAAACACCAAAUAAAUGGCCAAGAGAUUUAUCCUAGGUCAAAAAAGG
rnacentral:lncRNA from 1 species